GUCGUACAUGUUUCCGUAGGUGACCUGCGGAAGGAUCAUUGUCGAAACCUGCAGAGCAGCACGACCCGCGAACGCGUUUUAAAAUUACCAUGCGGAGGCAAGGGCGGCCCUGCGGUUUUUGCCUCUUCGUAACACAAACCCAAGGCGCGGGAUGCGCCAAGGAAUUUCGAAACAGAUCUCUCUCUCUCCGCCGGUGCUCAGCGCCGGCGAUGCGAGCGCGUUCUAUCAUAAGUCAUAACGACUCUCGGCAACGGAUAUCUCGGCUCUCGCAUCGAUGAAGAACGUAGCGAAAUGCGAUACGUGGUGUGAAUUGCAGGAUCCCGUGAACCAUCGAGUUUUUGAACGCAAGUUGCGCCCGAAGCCAUUAGGCCAAGGGCACGUCUGCCUGGGCGUCACACACCGUUGCCCCCCCCGAAACCCCGCGUCCUGCGGGAGCGGUUGUCGGGCGGGGCGUACAAUGGCUUUCCCGUGCGCAUGGCCGUGCGGUUGGCCGAAAGUGGAAUCCUUAGCCGCGAGCGCAGCGGCAUCCGGUGGUCUUCGAAACUUCGUUAGCCCGCCGCGCGCGCUCCCGGCAAGUAGGAGAACGAGUAGAAACCCGACGCGUCGCUCUCUCUGUUCUUGAGAGGGCGUUGCUACCGACGCGACCCCA
rnacentral:misc_RNA from 1 species